UGAGUGGAUUAUGCACUAUUUAAUGUGUGAGGCUUAUGUGGGAUAUGAACUUUCUUGGUUAAUAAUAUCUUUUUCUUUUUUUGACAGUUGGGAUUCUCAUAAAAUGCUCAUUAGAAAGGUCAGAGGAGCUGCUUUGAAAGUGUGUUCAGUAGGGGAAGGAACAUAUUGAUCAGAGCAGCAGUUUACUGGUGCAUGGCAGAGAUUGUUUAAACGGAGCUGGAGAGUUGCAACCUUUGUGGACGAGAGUGCUUUCCAGAAGAACCUAGAGCCUGGGGACGGAAGAAGAAAAGAGCAACAGUGAGUGAUGACUGCAGGAGCCCACGGGGAAAUCACAGUACCUUUGUACCAGGCUGUUAUUGUUGAAACACAUUAAUAUCAUAUUAGGUCUUCUAUGUGGUUACAGUAAUAAAAGAAUAUUUUCCAUUGUUCCAAUACAGAGAGUGCUUUUGUCUGUCCAUCUAUCUACUUAUCUAGCAUCUGUCUUCCUCUUUCUAUCAUCUAUCUAUCAUAUCUGAGAGUAGUAUAAAAGUGAAAGCACCCAUUGGAGGUACUGAAUUGUACCCUUUUUCUACAUGGCCAUUAAUCAUCUUUCCAAUUGUCUGAUCCCAGAGGGCAGAAACAAACCAGGCUCUUUCCAUGCUCCCUCCCUUACUUCACAGUGUUGGACCUGGUCCUUGGCCUGUUGGGAGUACUCAAUAAUAAUUCAUGUCAGAUGCACAGACAG
rnacentral:lncRNA from 1 species